CAAACCUUGUUUAUUGUGCAUUACUUCAAGGAUCUCUUUGCUGCUGGAUAUUUGAAACGAGAUAAUAAUAAGGCUGAUGAGAUUAAUGAUAUAAAACAAGAAUUGAAGAAGAUGGUUGUUAACUAAGAAAAGAUGCAAGCACAAAUAAAUAAAUUGUAAUCUUUGUUGGCUGACAAAGGGAGCCUUCGAGACAUCUUCCACUUUGUGCAGAAAUGAAUCUACUUAAGGAAUUGAGUGUGACAUGGCGUGUGGAUUUAUACUCAGAAU